GAGAAGCGGAGGACCGAACCGGAGGAAGGUCGACGGAGGAUCAGAGUUGUUCCGCAGUCAGCUGACCACACUUCCGUGACCCAGCAUGUCGA